ACAAGUGAGGUACAUUCCAUCUCUUAGAAGAAAUCUAAUAUCCUUAGGCCUCCUUGAAAAUAAAGGAUAUGAAUGGAAGUCUUCUAAAGCUGGAAUGGAUAUUCUUAAAGAUUCAGUGGUGAUAAUGAAAGGAAUAAGGCAAAAUGGAUUAUACUAUAUUUUAGCUGAUACAGUUACUGGAGAAUCUAGUAGUGUGAAAGUAGAUAACUCAACUCUAUGGCAUAAAAGGCUCGGGCAUAUUGGUGAGAGAGGUUUAAAUGAGUUAUUGAAGAAGUCAGCAAUCAAUAAUCCAUUCCCUUUUCAGCUAAAAACCUGUGAACAGUGCAUUCUUGGUAAGAGCAAGAAGCUAUCUUAUCAGGCUGGUAAACAUGUAUCUAAAGCUCCACUUGAUUAUGUUUACUCAGAUCUGUGGGGGCCUUCAAGGACAGAAAGUUUAGGAAAUGGAAAGUAUUUCAUGUCUAUAAUGGAUGAUUUCUCUAGGAAAUUAUGGAUUUAUAUCUUGAAGGAUAAGACUGAAGCUAUUGAUAAAUUCAGACUAUGGUACAAUGAAGUUGAGAAUGAGAAAUGGGUCAAGCUUAAGUGUCUUAGGAUAGAUAAUGGCCUGAAGUUUAUCUCAUCUGAAUUUGCAAGUUUUUGUGUUGAAAGAGGAAUUAAAAGGCACAAAACAGUGCCAGGGAAUCCCUAGCAAAACGGGGUAAUAGAAAGAAUGAACAGAACCAUUCUUGAGAAAGUCAGAUGUAUGUUGUUUGAGGCCGGGUUAUCCAAGAGAUUUUGGGCAGAAGCAGCUAUGACAGCUAGUCACUUAAUCAACUACUCACCUUCAUCUGCAAUAGGCUUCAGAAUUCCAGAUGAAGUUUGGUAUGGAAAUACACCAAGCUAUGCUCACUUAAGGGUGUUUGGAUGUAGAGCUUAUGCUCACAUUAAACAGGAUAAGUUGAAACCUAGAGCAUUGAAGUGUAUUCUGAUAGGUUAUCCUAAAGGUGUUAAAGGUUCACUACUACAAAUUUGGGCUAUCUCUACACCUGUAUAACUACGGUUUUAUAAAAAAAUCGUAGUGUAUUUGUAUAGACUACAGUUUUUCUUGUGAACUGUAGUGUAUGAGCGCCCUUUUCCAAAUUUAGACUACGGUGGCAAGCACAUUGUAGUCACAAUCGUAGUCUAUAGUAGUCUAUUACUACAGUUCCAUAAAACUGUAGUGUAUGAGCGUUUUUUUGAUGUUUUUCUCUACAGUUUAUGAAUUCUCGUAGUGUAUUCUUUGUUGUGUACAAAGUUUUGACUACAGUAGUUUUUUAAAGCAUAGUAAAUGGUAUGUAACUUCACUUUUGUCUACAGUUGCUCUUAAAAUUGUAGUGUAUAUGCGAGUUUUGACUACGUAACUAGAUUUGUAGUCUAUUAACUUUUAAAAAAUGUAGUGAAAAUAUAAUGCCGUUAAACAUGUUAUUUUAAAAAAUUAAAAAUGAUCAAUAUUUUUAUUUUAAAUUCUAAAAAAUAAUUUUUAUUUAAAAUUAUUUAAAUAUAAAUAAAUUACAUUGCAUUUAAUUCUAAAAUAAUAUUAAAAAUAAAGUAUUUUAUUUUUUAGGGUAUUUUGUAUUGUCAUUAAUUAUGUUUAUACUCUCAAGGGUUUUAGGUUCGCUUUUUUCUUUCUCUUUAUAAUAAAAUUUUAUUAAAUACUUGAAUUAUAUUAAAAAUGCUAUGACAGUUCAAACACAAUUCCCACGGCCUUCCACUCCAACCCUAGCCUUGCACGUCUCUCACUCAACCGCCGUCAUUCUCCCUAAAACCCGUCGUCUCUCUCAUGCCUCUAUCACUGCGCCACGCCCCCUGCUCAGCUGUCAUCGCCGCUGUCACCCCUGCUCGGCGCCUCUGCCUCCGCCUUGAACCAGUCGCCACCUGCCGUCCUCCGCUUCACCAAUUCAGUGGUCGCAGUGCUGCAACAGCCCUGCUCGAAUGUCAUCGCCGCUCUCACCGCCCUGCUCGGCUGCCGCCUCCGCCUUGAAUCAGUUGAGUCGCCACGCCACCGCCCUGAAUUGAUUUAAUCUGCACUGUCAUAUCAUUCUCGCCAUCAUUAAUUGAUUUUUAGGCAUGUAAGAAUGUAUUUGUUACAUAACUUCAUAUGUUCUGCACUAAAAAAUUGUCAGUAUCACUUAAUUGUUGUUAUUAUAUCAUUAUUUCCUUUUAAAAAAAUAAGUAUCAUCUUUUAGGAUUGUAGAUGUUAAAUACGCAAAGGAUGAUUUGUUUAUAUCAUCUUUAACUCUUGCUUACACCACUUUGCGUAUAAACAAGUUAUUAGUUUUAAUGACUUGGAAUACUUGUUUAUCUCUUGCUUACAUCACUUUUUUAGUGAAAAUGAUGGCAAGGACAAAUGCGAGUGUGGCUUUGUAGUCAUGCACUUAUUUGCGUUAACUUGUUUAUGCUCAAGGAUUAGGGAUAUCUAUCUCAAUUACCAGUUCUUUUAUCUUGAUAUUGUUCGUUAAAACAUGUUGGAAUCAUGUGUUCUUGUAGUUUAUGCAAGGGAGUACGGGUGGGUGCUAAUCUUGAGGUUAUCUUUAUAGCCAAUGUAGAAAAAUCUGAAUUUGUCACCUUUGUAUAUAUAUUGUACCUGUCACCUGAAGCCAGAAUGGUUCGCUUAAAAUUGUCCAGGGUGUACCCUGGCAAUUUGAGAUACAUGGGUGUGAAUCAAAAUAUAUUUGCUAACAAAAUGAGAAUAGCCUCCUCGAUGUGGUCAAAGAAUGUCGAACGUCAUCUGUUAAGCUUCUAGGAUUGAAUAUAUAUUUGAAUCAUGUUGGAUUGAUAAAGAUUAUUUAACAUUGAAUUAUAUUUACCUGGUGCUCUGCUUUUACUGUUUCUUAUCUGCUGCUUAAGCUUUGAUCUAAGCUUUCUCUUUGAUUAUUUCUAGAUGGAACCAUCUAUCCUUAUGAAAAUUAUGACAUAGGAAAACACUAAGCUUCUCAUUGAUUCAUCGAAAUUUGGUGCAGAUGAUUUGUUUAUGCUAAAUAGUAUUCAAAGUUUUGUUGUAAUAUAAAGGAUCAUCGACUUGUUAAUAGACUCAAACUACUUAAAAGUAUUAGUGGAUAUAAUGCUUUGUUUAAGGGAAGAUUUGUUUUAUUUGUUGAGUUUUUUUCCGGAUAGUUAGUGAAUCUGAGCAGUAAAUUUGUAAAAAUCUGUAGUUAAUAUUUUGCAUUGAACAUGUAGAUCGCCAUAUUAACAUAGAUUAGUUCUCCAAAUAAUAUUUAUUAGGACUGGUGGUCUAGAUAUGUUCAUAACAGAGAGAGAGCAGAGAGUCUAUAUUGUUUCAGAGAUGGAUAUUUUAAGGCUAUCUAUCUUGAAAAUCAUAUAAGUUUAGAAUAUCUAAUUUUGUAUAUAUAUAUUCAUGAGUGGUGGAAGUUGAGUUUGUUAGUCUUGACUUCUUGAUCUUUGGCUUUUCUCACAAGUUGAGUAAUUUAUAUGUAGAUUAUAUGCAAUGAGUAACUGAAGGUGCAAUUUUCAAUUGACUUAUUGUAUGCAUGCUAUCAGUGUUGUCAUGUAAUUGUAUUUUUUGGGCAAUUCCACUCACAAUCAUGAAUAUUUCAUUGAUAUGCUAAACUUAUAUUUGCUCAUAUUGAUGCCUCCUUUGUUUCCGCAUAAUUCAUCUUUGUUGCUGCAAGGUGAGUGCUCUUUUGUAGCUAUGGUCAUUCCGUUUGUUUAUUGCAUGAAGAGUCAAUAUUUUGGAUGAACGAUUGCUUUUCAGUUUGCAUUCGAAAGCCUCAUGCAAGAGACUGUUGCAUCAAUGGCCCGAUAAUAUGUGCGCAACAUCAUAUCAUCUGUUCAGAGGGUUGCCUUAGCUCUCUCUUCGGUUCACCUUGUACCUAAUGCUGGUCUUCGGUCACCCAUCUGUGGUUCCAUAUUUUUUAUUGAAUGGAUAACUGAGUUUUUUAUUGGAUGAAUAACUGACUUUUGUUUUUUGUUGAAAGGGCUAUUUUUAUAUUCAAUGCCAAAUUGGAGAAAAGAGAUAAAAAAACAACCUAUUUGGGAUAUUAUAAAGGUAAUGAGAAAUAUAUUUUUUGUAUGUAAUUAUAAUCUUUUACGUACUAACCCUUAUAACUUUUACAUAGUCUCCAAGACAACUUGAUUUCAAGCAAUGUGGAUUUUUCAGGAUGCGUUACAUGAAAGAAAUUAUUGAAGAGCUUAUGAAGAAUGGUCGCUUUUGCCUAUACAUUCACAUGUAAGUAAUUUGUCUUAAUUCUCAAUUAUACGUUUUUCAUAUAAAACAAUAGUUUAUCUUUUAUAGUUUAACAAUCGGAGUUAUACUAAAUAGGAUAUUGAUGAAGUUCGUGUUGAGUGGGUGAAUCUCAUUCUUAGUCACAUAUAAAAAGUAGAGGUAAUAUUCUACAACUUUGGUUUACUAAUAUGGAUUUGUGUUAUAGAUAUACUAGUAUAUGUUUAUUUGGUCUAUUGAUUUUAAUGAAAGAAAUAUACUUUUGAAAUAAUAUAUGUUGCAAUUAGCUGGAAUUUUGUUUGAAAUGUAAGAAAUGCUUUGUUGACAUGAUUGUUUUAUAUGUUUCUAUGGCAAAUCUUGUUUUAAUUUUGUGCCAGGAUAUGCUGGAAAUGAAGCAAAAACAGGAGACUUUUGCUGAAUUUUCCAUGAAGAUUCUUCAACAAUAGACUACUAGAUAUUGUUUUGAAAAAAAAUAUUGUACUCUUUGUUUUGUAUAUUUAAUCUCUUGUCGUUCUUAGCUUCAUUUCAGUGUACAUUAACAGAAUAUGAAAUAUUGUGAAAUUAUAUAUGACAAUUAUAAUUUUUUAGUGUAUCAAUAUUUGUAUUUCAUUUUUUGUUAAUUUUAAAUAAAAUAACAAUAAUUUUUAGUUGACGAUAGCCAACCACUACGACAAUAGGCGUAGAGUAAGAUCACUAAAAGUGUAGUCUUUAAAUACUAUAGACUACCAUUUCUAGUUGACAAACCGUAGUCUAUUCUUCCAAUACAGUACAAUUUCGAACAGAAUUAACUACGGUUUCCACGUGUAGUAUAUGAUUACACAUAGACUACGCUUUCCACACGUAGUAUAUGUGCGUUUAAAAAUGUAGUCUUAAGUAACUAUAGACUACGGUUAUAAAACUGUAGUCUAUAUUGAUGGGAAUAGACUACACCAUCUAUCACUACGAUUAUUAAAUCACAUAGACUACGGUGUUAAAGUGUAGUCUAUGAGCUUUUUUGUAGUAGUGAGCUUCUUCGCUCGCCUGUGCUAGCACCAAUGCGAUGUCGUGUCGCAACGUGAUAUUGCGUCUACCGGGCACCGGGUGGACCUUCAUUUGAGCUGGAAUUCGAUUCAAAUUCGCAGAAUAAAUCAAAAAUUUAAAGCUAUUUUGGGAAAAACAACAGAGAAACUUCGAUUAAAAAGGAGCUCAGAUGCGCUUUUGGGAAAAAUAUUGAAAAUUUCAAGGAAAAUACCGGAUUACAUAAAAGCAAGAUUAAAAAUAUAGCUUUCGAAACAACUAAAGAAACCCAUAAUUGAAGAGUACGAGAAAGAGAGAGGGGGGGGGGAGGGGGAAAGUAAUCUGGCAACGGGAGCUUGACGUAUGAUUUCUGUGUUUUUCAAAUAGGUGGAAAUUCUUUAAUUUUUUUUUUAUUCCACGUGUACUUCCAACAUGACACUUGGCCGGACACGUCAAAUACCGGUCGUCGGAUUAUUUUUGCGAACCACAAAUGAGAAAAAAAUGAAACAAUAGAGUAUUUUGUAAAUAUGCUUAAGGUGAAUAUAUUUGAAAAAAACGCUCAAACGAUGGGCCAUAAAUUGACAUUUACCCUUCAUUUUCAAAUCUUGAAUUACUUGAUUGUUUUUAAUGUCUAAGGUUCGAAUUUGACUGUCUUAAUUUCAUGCGAAUUCCAUAGGAUAUAUAAUGAUGAUAUGGAUUUUCCCCUCCAUACUUAAACUAUUUGAAGAAAUUCAAAUUGUCUGUCAUUUCAACUUUCCGAUACAGAAAAAUCGAAUAAUUUGAGAUUGGAAACUAAAAUACCUUUAGUCGAGAACUAAUAUGUUAAAGUCGAGAGUUCAUUCUAGAUUUAAGAAACUUUGAGUGUAGAACUGUAAUUUUUCCUUGUAUCUGUUCUCCAUCUUUUAUUGUUUUUUUGUGUGGGCAUAUUUUAUUGUUAUGUGAACAUAAUAUUCUAUUUCUUGAUAGUCAAUUUGACGGCCUCUUUAAUAGAAACAUUUCACACACUGGACCUACUAGAGAGCCAAAUUUCAAUAGUUCUCUAAUCAAAUUUGUCAAAGUUAAUCUUGAAUGUUAUCUAUUUUCCAAAUCAUCUUUUAGUGCAAAAUACAAGGUACUAAUUAUACAUAAUAAUAUGUUUAAUUUACUUUGAGAUCAUAGCAUUUACAGAAGCUAGUAUACUUGGAUAUUUUUUGUGUCAAUUAUUUUUUUGAUAGAGAAACAUACCGGAAAUAAUAAAUCUGAAAAAUCUAAUAAAAUGCAUUACUUCAAGAAAGUCGAUUCCCAAUAAUACUCCAAAAUUUAAUUUGAUAAACAAAUACUUAUAUAAAUGGUUUACUAGUUACAAUUAAAAUAUGGAGUAAUAUCAAAAACAAUCUAUCUAAAUUUAAAUUUUUUAUUAAGAGGGUGUGUAUUUGACUGAGCUAUGAGCAUAUAAACUCUUUAAAUACUUAUAGAUUAUUUAAGAGCUUAUAAGCUCUUUUAAAGUACUCCAUCCGUCCCAUUUGUAUUGGCCAGAGUCCAGACCCCCUUGUCAUUUUGGAUUGUCUCAAUUAUAUUGGCCCCUUUCUUAAAAUAGCAAAAAUAAGGGCUCCUAAGUGGACAAAAGUAAAGCACUUCACCUAUUUAACUCAUAAAUAAAUGUUUUUUUAAUCUUCGUGCCCAAAAGUAAGAGGGUGUUUGGCUAAGCGUAUUUAAAGAGCUUAUAAGAUGUUUCAAGAGCUUAUAAGAUAUAAUUUUUAAGAGUUUAUAAGUUGUCAAAGUGUUUGGAUAGUUGAGCUUAUAAGCUAGAGAGAGAAUUUUUUGCUAAAGAGAGAAAAUCGAAGAUAAAUGAACUUAAAUGAUUAAUGAUGAAAAUAAUACAUUAUAGUUGAAAAAUAUUGUAAAAUGAUUGUUGCAUAUGAGAUUAUAAAAAAAUAAGUUGGGGUAGAGGAACUUAUUUUUUGAGGAGCUUAUUUUUGGAGCUUAUAUAAGCUGUUUAGGAGCUUAUUUGGAGAGCUUAUAAGCUUAGCCAAACAUCCUCUAAGAGGUCAAUACAAAUAGAACGGAGGGAGUAUUUGGUAAAAUAAGAUUCUAAGCAUCUUACAAAUGUAAAAAUAAGUCCCAAGAGAUUAUAAGCUCACAAAAACUAAGUUUAUCUAUUCCAAAAAUUUUUUAUAUAAUCUCAUCUGCUACAAGCAAAUAUUAUUUAACCAUAAUUUGUUAUUUUUAUCAUAUAACUUCCAAGUUUAUCUCUCUUCAAUUUUUACAUCUCACAUAAAAUUCCCUCUCCAAUUUAUGAGCUAAAUUAUCUAAACACUUUAAUAAUUUAUAUGUUAUUAACAAAUUAUAUUUUAUAAUAUGUUGAAACUUAUAAACUUUUUAAAAUAAACUUACUCAAACACCUUCAAAAUUUGGUUUGAGCCGAUCUUCGUGUUUUGACAUUUUAGUUAUUUGGUAUUAGGCGGAUGGUGAUUGUGAUUUCAACUUGACGUUAAUUUUCCUUCUUCUUUUUGUUGGAAUAAACGAGGAAACAAAGUGAAUUAUCCACGUCAAGUCUCAAUACACUAAAAAAUCGAUUCGGUAAUAAUGUACAUAACGAGAAAUUGAAAAAUAUAUUUGGAGAUUUCUUGACUUUAACCAUACUCCAUUGUGAGAUUGUAAUUUUUCUUGAAUUUGGAAAUUUUUAAUUACGAAAAGAACCUUUUGAAAAAUUGCAGUCACCGACCAAAUCUAGCUUUUCCAGGCUGGUAACGAUUAACGAAUCGUGAUUAUGUACCCUAAUUUAAUAUACUCCAUUCCAUUCGUACCCAUUAUAUAAAUUUAUUGAAUUUUGUAUAAGAGUUUAACUCGUUAUUAAAAAAAUUAGGGUGAAUAAUGUUUUAUGUCCCGAACUUUCAGCGUUUUUCACAAAAUGUUCCGAGCUUUCAUUUUCUCCUAAAAAAUCCUGAACUUUCAAUUUUUUCCAUAAAAUGUCCCGCUAUAUAAAAUUCGAUGACGGAAAGAUGAUAAAAAGCCCGAACAUUCAACAUUUUCCAAUAAUGGUGGUUCUCAAUAUAAUUUUCCAAUAAUGGCGGUCCCCAAAAUAUUUCUUUUGGCUAGAUAAUUCAUCUUUUUGUCACCAAAAUUUGUAUAAUGGGAUAUUUUAUGAAAAAACUGAAAGUUCAGGAUUUUUUAGGAGAAAAUGAAAGUUCCGGACAUAAAACACUAUUAACCCAAACAAUUAUAUAUUAUUCAUAUUUAAUUUUUGACAAUACAUUAAUAAUAGAAUUAAUUAAAAAUUAAAUAAAAAUAUAUUAAUAAAUGAAUUAAAAAUGUAUUGCCCUUUAUAAAAACUAGUCUAUAUAUUUGGAACAUUCAAAAAGGAAAAAGAAAAUUUAUAUAAUUGAGACGAAGAAAAAAUAUAAAUAUUUUUAAUAAUACAAAAUUGAAACUUUGUCAAUUGAACAUUUAUCAUUUCAUCAUUCCAUUUUUGGUCAUAAAUAAUCUUCAAAUUGCCAUUUUGAUCAAUAAUUUUAAAACACCGUUUGGAGAAGAUGUCGGCCCAUGUAGAUUUCUAGUCCGUUUACUAUCAACUAUCUGUUUCUCGUAGUAAUUCAGUCCCUUUCACACAAUUCGUUCUGAAAUUCAUAUGGUCGACAUCUUGCGCUUAUAUAUGAAGUGGCCUGCAAAUUAAAUCACAAACAAUUAAAUUAUAGCCAAACCACAUCUGUAAGUACUUAUACUUUACAGGUUUAUUUUGAAUAAAUCCUUAUAAUAUUGUUUUGUUUCCAUAAGUCCCUCUACUAGUAUAUAUUUCACGUCAUGAAAUCACUUUUUAACGAAUGUAUCUAACAGCGUUAACAUUUUCAUUAAAAAUGGGCUAUGAGUAAAUAUUACAGCCUUAUUCGAAUUACGUGUGGUGAUAUCCAACAGCUAUCAAACAACACAUUCGCUUUAAUGUCGUCAGCCAUUUCUACACAACAACACAACUCGAUAGUUGAUUGAAAUCAUCACAACCUUGAACCCGUGACCUCACUAUUUACACAGAAGGUCACACCGCUUGGUGUUUCAUUGGGGACGAGAAUUCAUCAUGUUAGGUCACCACUUGCUCUAUCUUCUAAAGGGCAUAUACUGUAGUGUUACUCCAUCGUGGUGCCACAUCAUCAACUAUCUCAUUUUUCAAGUAUCCAAUAUUUUCUCCACUAUAACACUACCUCACUUUUACUAUUUAUGGACCCACUAUUAUUAUUAUUACUUUUACCAUAAUACACAAUUAUAUAUAUAUAAAUACAUAUAGGAAAAUGAAAAAAAUGACAAAAAGGAAAAAAGGAGGAGAGAGAAAAUUGAUUGGGGCCCCACCGCAUAUACAAGCACCGGGAUCCUCUGCUGGUACCCAUUUACUUCAUUGGUACCUCAAGUUUGAUGUCCACUAUGGUAAGGAGCGGGUCCCUUCGAUGCCACAUAGAUUAAGGAACAUCCCAUAGUGGAUGGCCUAAUGCACCUUCCUUCUCUGAAGAGCUCUCUAAAAUUUCUUGAAAAAAAUUCUUCUAAAUGAUCAAAUUUCUGAUCAACACGUGAAUUGACUUCUUAAGCGAAUUUUGGCUUAAGAAUUUGUUACUCAACAUCAUCGCUUGACACUUGACAGUCACCGCCGUGGGAAUGUGAUGGACAUCCACCAAAUCAACUUGUGAAAUAGGUUAUUUUGCAAUGAAAAUAUUAACGGUGUUAAAUAAAUUUAAAUAAAUUUUUUAUUUUUUUAAGAUAAAGUAUAUUAGCAGAGGGACUUAGAAAAAAAAAUAGUACGAGAAUUUAUUGAAACAAACUUUAAAUAUACAUGGGCCUAAAUAUGUGUGUUCCGCCUUAAAUUAUAUAAAUACAUAUGAGAGACGUAUAUUCACGGUUAAACUAAUCUUAUACUUUAAGGGCCUGUUUGAUAUGGGUUUAAAAGCAUGAUAAGUUAAAUUAAUAUGGAUUUAUGUAGUGUUUGAUAUUAUGUGUUACUAAUAUGGUCAACUCCAGGUUUAUCUCAAGACCUAGCUUAUUUUGUGGGAUUAACCCACACUAAUUAUCCCACCUUCCCCAUGGGAUUAACCCACACUAAUUAUUCCACCCCCUCCAUAGGCUACUAAUUUAGGUAUUUGAUACUCCCUCCGUCCCAUUAAAGUUGGCAACAUUUCUAUUUUGGGUGUCCCAUUAAAGUUGACCACUUUCUAAAAAUGGCAAAAGUUUACUUAAGUUAAGUCAACAAUUACUCACUAAUUUGGUCAACAAUUGUAGGCUACUUUUUAAAAAUAUCAAAAUUAUUUUAAUUAAGUCAACAAUUACUCACUAAUUUGGUCAACAAUUGUAGGCCACACUCUAUUAAAACAUAUAACACUUAAUUUUUUAAUCUCCGUGCCGAAAUGAAUGUUGCCAACUUUAGCGGGACGGAGGGAGUAAUAAUAAAUGAAAGAAGCAGAAAAUGAUACCUCAUUCAUUCCUAAAGUGACAACCUUUUCCUCCAACGCACCAACCUCCUUAACAUUAAACUUGUUGAGCAGAGCUAUGCUGGAGAUGGUAGACAUGGGCUUGAUCUCCAAAUCAUCCAUCACCAUGUAUGUCACCACCCCCUUCACCAAACCGCCGCCUUCCGCGGCCUCUACCACCGCGGGAGGAGCCACAUAGGUUAUAGUCGAGCUCAGAACCCCACGGCAUGAAGGACAAGUGGCGCGGGGGCCAUCAGAAAAAUAAUUGCGACAACUGCUACUGUAAUUAUAAUUGCUGCACGUGUAAAAUUUCCUCUGAUCAAUUUGAGAAGCGGUGAGGGGCAGAAGCGGAACUGAGGAACUGGAGACCGGCGCCGCCGGUUUCAGAAACGCCUCCUUGUUCUUGCCCGGCAGUAUGUAGGUGUCGUUGAGAUCUUCUAAGCUUUUGAAGAGGUUGGGGAGAGAGCCCUCCAUUCCUUCCUCUCUGAGAAGGCUGAUGACGGUGGCAAGCGGCGCAGACAGUAUGUGGAAGAGGAAAUCCACGCAGUCUUUGCCGGCCUCCGCGAACAAGACGCGUCUCACUUUGCUAGUGUCGAUCAACAGCUUCAUGCUCACCGUCGGAUUCGCCAUUAAUCUUUUUGUGUAUCUGAUGGCUUGAUCUUCUUCUUGGGUGGGUUACUCUAUUUCAACUCACCAUUCAUUUAUAUAUAGAGGCUGGCAAACUAGUUCCAUCGGAUUGGUGCAGAUGAAAAGCUUAGUGAAGUAAUAAUGCUUGCGUUUCUAUUUAAUUAUCAUAAAUUCAUAUCCCUCUGCAAUCAUGAGAGAAAUUGGGUUUCCGUUACUGUUGAUAAAUAUUAAGGGAAAUUGUAUGGAGCCAUAAUUAUAGCUGCCAUAAAUACCCUUCAAAUAUUAAUGAUCUAAUUUGAACACUAAUUUGUCCUCCAUUCAACCCAAACGAUUUUCCCAACCCUAAUUCACACAAUUAUUUUAGGAAAUGAUUCCUAUUGAAAUAAACGGUUUUUUCCCCUUAUUUAAAUCAACAACUAUUUUUCAGUACCCUAAAAAAAUAGUUGAAAUUUUUAGGAAUUAAAUUUCUUAUCUCAAACCUUGCCACCCCAUAUUCAACAAAGCAAAACCAAAAGAAAAAGUGGUUGUCUGCCACUAGGCUAAAAGUGGUUGUCUGCCACCAACAGGCUAUAACAAAUGUAGUAUUAUUUCAAAUUAAAAUGUACUCCCUCCGUCCCAGUAAUGUUGUCCCCUUUCUUUUGGGCACGGAGAUUAAGGAGUGUAAAAUUAGUAUUGUAAAAUAAAAGGUCCCACAUGUUUAAGGAAAAGCAAGUAUAGCUUAAGCCCCUCCCCAAACAUGUCUCUCUCUCUCGGCACUCUCUCCCUCAACAUACACUAUGCAGACGCCGCGCCGCCGGCGACACCAUGUUUAUCUCCGGCGACGGCAACAGUAGGUGGAGCAACCUCUCUGAUUCCGCCGAGCAGCAGUGGGAGCAGCCACUGCCGGUCCCAGCCCCCUGUUCUCCCUUUGUCUCUACCAUUUCUCAACUCCGCCCCUCUCCCUUGUCUCCGGCGACCGCUACGAAGCCACAGAGAUACAAGGAAGACUCUUAUAAACAGAAAAUUGAAACACAGAAGGCCCAAAAUUCGGCGACCGCAUGACUAGAAGGUCGCCGUCGUCGCCGCCGCCGAGCCUCAAAUCUCCAGUCUACUUUUCCCUUCAUUCGAGCCCACCAAAGAUAAAACACACCACAGAGCAACACCACCACCACCACAGAAACAAAGAGAUCCACAAAUAACAACAACAAAAAACAAAAAAUAGAAUCUUUUAAUUGUUGAGAGAAACAAAGGAGAGGGAUGAAGAAAAAAAGCCCUAAUUUCUGAAUAAAAAAAAAAAAAACAGAGGAGGAGAGGGCGAAGGCAGGAGGGCGGCGACUAUGGCGCAAGAGGAGUGACAGGCGGGAGAAGCAGCGUCAGGUGAGAGGCGCUGGGGUCGCCGGAAAGAGGAGCCGCGUCGGUGGCUGAAUUAUUGGGGGAGAGCUAGGGCUCGAAAUUUGCAGAAGAGGGGGAAGGGGAGGAGGCGGAGGCGGCGGCGGCGGCGGCGAGCCCUAAUUCAUGGGGGAGCGGAUUUACAGAGGGGGAAGUGGAGGAGGCGGAGGCGGCGGCGGCGGAACAAAGGGGGAAGAGGGAGGCGGCGCCGGUGGAACAGAGGGGAAGUGAGCGGCGGCGCCGGUGGAUUUGCAGAGGGAAAAUGGUGGAGCGACGAGGGAGAAUGAGGGAGAUGGUAGAGAGAGAGAGAGAGAGAGAGAGAGGAGUGAUGUAAUUUGGAGGGGUAAGUUUAAUUAGAAUAUGUUUAAGUGAGAGUUAAUUAGCCUUAAAAUUUACCCAAAAAGGAAAUGGGACAAGAUUAUUGGGACAACCCAAAAAGAAAAGUGGGACAAGAUUAUUGGGACGGAGGGAGUACAAUAUUCAAGAGCCAUAAGGUGUCUCCAACAAUGAUCCCAAUUUUUAGUUUUUAAAUUGCUACACCAUUGCCACAUCAACUUUAGAAAUUCACCUAUUUUUUUUUUCAAAUCUCCUCCAACAAUAAACUAAUUUUUUAUUUUUUCAGGGUCCCACCAUAAUACACACUCCCUCGAUAUAUCUAUAUAUGUAUAUAUUUCUUAAUUAAUUUUAUUUGUAUUAUUAUUUAUAUACUUUAAUAAUAUUUUUAAAUUAAAAUUCUAUAUUUUAAUUAUCUAAUUUAAUAAAAUAAAUUUAAAAUUCUAAAUUAUAAUUAAAAUUACAUUGCAAAAAUUUAAAUUACAUCAAUUGAAAGUACAUAAACAUAAUAAUUCAAACUAAUUUUACUUAAUUGGAGCCAUCUGUGACAUUGAAUUGUGCCCAAAUAUGUUGUGUCAAAUCAUGUUGAAGUUGGAGAUGUGUUUGUUUAUUUGUUAAAUCGUUGUGAUUUUGGAGAUAAUUUUCAAAUGCUUCCCAAUUAUUAGUACCCAUUGGUAUUGGUUGCUGAGAAGUUGCAUCUUCGUCAGACCAGUUGACCGCUUCUUCACCCUCAUCCUCAAUGAUCAUAUUGUGUAAAAUAAUACAUAUGAGCAUUAUAUUGCGAAGGUCUUCCUUGAAAUAAGACCGCGCUGGAUUUCGAACUACGGCAUGAAAUAGUUGGAACUUGAAAGGAUUGUUGGAUGUAAAUUGUGGAGGAAAAUUUGUUCCAGUAGGAGAGUUGAAUGGAAAUUGUUGAGAAUAAAUCGAACCACCAGGAGAGUUGAAUGGAAAUUGUUGAGGAAAAUUCGGAGACAUUUGAUAAUUGUAUGAAAAUUGUUGUUGAGGGUAAGACAUUUGGUGAUAUUGUGAAUUUGAAAAAUAAGAAUUUUGAAAAUUUUGAGAGCUUGAAUUACUUGAGUCGGAAUUUUGAGAGCUUGAAUCCGCCAUUUUAAUUGUAGUGAAAAGAAUUUUGGAAAUAAGAAGAAGAUAGAUUGUUGGGAAGAUGUGUGAAUAAUGAAAAUUGAAGUGAAGUAUAUAUAGAAAAUUUUAAAAAAUUUCCGUUGUUAUUAGAAUUAGCCGUUAUAAAAUUAUAUAUAGCCGUUGCUUUUUUACAAUGCAAAAUAAAACAUUCAAAAUAAAAUACUAGAAUACAAUGCAAAAUAAUUAAAACACAUAUAAUAAAAAAAAAUAAAAAAUAAAAGACCACAAUGUGAAACAACUGAAGCCAUACUCCCAUAUAAUUCAAAUAGCACGCUUUUCAAUGAGAAAAAGUAGGCUAGAAAAGCAAAAAGAAAUGGCUGCCAGAAAAAGUAGAAUUGAAGAAAGUGGAAUUUGGUGGGCUUUGGUUAAGGUUGUCUUUCGUGGAAAGAAGUUUAGAAACCAGUUCUUUGUUUGCUCUUGGUUUCUCGAUUUUUUCGAAGAAACCAGUUCCUAGUUACUCCAAUGCUAAUUCUUUGUUUUAGAAAUUGGAAAAACUUAUCUUUGGAGGCACCCUAAUAUUGAAAACUACCCACUUCAACUAGUAAGUGCAUGCAAAACCACCAAAAUGAUAUUCACUAUACCACAUUUCAUGCCUUAGUGUGUCCUACUUUCAAUUUUGUUUCGUUUCUUUAUAUAUUUUUUUUUGUGGUUUUUGCAAAUAAAAUCACGAACAAUUUUAAAUGUGCAAUUUUAACGUGGCUUUUGAAGUAUGGCGAAUUAAAUCAUAACCUUUUCAAUUUUCGCAAUUUCAUCCCCUCAAUUUUUUCCGGCCACCGGAGUGAUGAGUUGGAGCUUAUGUGGAUUAUUUUUUUUCACGUAAUUAAUUUCUAACUAAGAUUAAAUUGCUGACUAAGAUUAAAACAAAAUCAAAACCUAAUGCUUUUAUUUUACUUCUUUUUCGUCUUUUAUAAAAAUAUAUUUGAUGUGUAUCUUAAGUUAAAGAUCAUGACAAGAUCUUCAAUUUGAUUUAAAAUUCAUUAAAUAUGAAUUUGAAAUAAAUACUUUAUUAUAAUUUAAAAUUUUAAAGUGAUUGUUUUUCUCUCUCCCAUCUCUUUUACAAUAUUCUUUAUUUUUUUCUCUUUCUCCUUAUUUUGUUAUUAUAUUAUUUCCAUUUGUAUCUCUUUCUCCUACAGAAUUUAUAUAUCUUCUCUUCUCUUUUGAUUAAAAAAAACAUAAUAUUUAUUUGUUGAAUUAUUUUUAUCAAAGUAUACAUAUAAAUAUUUAAAUUAANAAUAUCGAGACAAUAUUAUAAAAGUAUUUAUUAAUUUUAAUUUUAAUAGAAAAUAAUAAUCGAUAACAAAAAACUUUCGGUAAAUUUAAUUAUUAUUAUACAAUACUCAUUGAACGUAAUAUUAUACUCCUACUCAUUAAGUUGAUAAAAUUAUUACUAUACACUAUUUUAAAUCAAGUACUAAUAUUUAAAUUAAUAUAUUUUUUGUUAUUAAUUAAUUUGAUUCACAAAUAAUAAUAUUUUUACAUAAUUUCAAAUUUUAAAAAUAAAUAAAUAUAUCGCGGCCGUGUAUCGUACGGGAGGGCGUACUAGUUUAAGGAAAAUGGGGGAUACUGAAAUAAGUUCGACGAAAAAGAAGAAAAAUAAAAGAAUUAGGUUUUGAUUUUAUUUUAAUCUUAGUCAGAAAUUAAUUACGUGAAAAAAAAAUCCACAUAAGCUCCAACUCAUCACUUCGGUGGCCGGAAAAAAUUGAGGGGAUGAAAUUGCAAAAAUUGAAAAGGUUAUGAUUUAAUUUGCCACAUUUUAAAAGUCGCGUUAAAAUUGCAAAUUCAAAAUUGUUCGUGAUUUUAUUUGCAAAAACCUUUAGUUUACUUUUGUGAUUAUUAAUUAGGAUUUAUUCCAUCAAUUUAUGGUAUAUAAUUAUUUUUUAUUAUUUAAUUUCAUUUUGAGUAGCUAAUUAAUAAUUGGUUGAUAAAUUCAAAGCCAUGGUAUAUAUAUAUACUUUUUAAAAAAUUUACUUUUUUGAAAUAAAAAUUAAUUAUUGUCAUAUCCCGACUUUUAAUCAUUGGUCAAAUGUUUAAUUAUUGAUAAUUAGGGUUCAACAUCCAUUAAUAAAAUUUGGUCUUAUGUAUCUGUUGUGAUUUAAUUUUGUUUGAUGUGAUUGAUUUUAUUUAUUUGAAUCCAAUUGAAAUUUAAAGGAUUUUAUGCAUAAGUUUUAAUUCGUGAGUUAAGUGUAGUUAUAUGAAUUACAUGAAUUUUAAAUUUUGCAUGAAGUCAUAAAUUUUUCUUUAAAUGAGAUAUUAUUUUUUUAUUAUCAAUCAAGAGUUAUAUUUUAAUAAUUUUAUUAAAGAUCAUUUUAUUUAUUUAUUAAAGUCACAAGUUUUAUUUAAAUUUUGAUGGUACAUUUUGCCCACUAAUUUUCUUAGUGUGCUUAAUUCACAUCCAUUUGAUACCCACAUGUUUUAAUUAGUUAACCUUAUCUCAUAACCACCCACUUGCCAUAUCCUAUUAAUUUAACUUCUAAAUAUCUACUCAUCAUUAUCCAGCUUCCUCAUUAAGCAACACUAUUAUCUUCCUCUAGAAGCUAAACAUUGUUCUCACCCACCCUUACCGUCUUCUUUGAAAUUUCACAUCUUUUUUUCACCUUCAACUCCCUAACUAAUUUCAAUCAAGAUUCAAGGUAAGUGCGAUUUAUAUUUAUUCAUCUUAUUAGUCAAUUUCAAGAAAUACCUUCAUACACUUAUGCCAUGCAGCAUUUCUGCAGAAUUUUUAUAACAAUUUUGCUUCCUCAAGGUCUACUCCAAAAUUGAACCACCAAACACAAAGCAAACUACUUAUGAUUCUUUAUAUGUUUAUAUGAUUCUGGAAUUUACACAUGUGGUGUUUAUUGUAAGAAAUACACAGAUAGACAAUUACAAAUCUUGAUGAAUAUAAACUCUUAUAUGAAAUCCUACAACUGUUGUCGUUUUGAAUCGUGGCUGAGCCCCUAUGUAGAUGUAUGUGUGAGUGUCGAGAUCGGGGAGGCGGCAGCCCGAUGACUCGUCGUCGGUAGGCGGCUGAGGCAUGAUGGCGGCGGAGCCGCCACUGUUUCUGUUCGGCCGAAAGGGGAGAAAGGGAAGGGGAUAGAAGAUUUCAGUUUUUCGUUGAAUAAAAGAUAUUAUUAGGGCUUCAAUUUAAUUAAUUAUCUUCAUGAAAUUAAUUCGUGGUUAAAUAUUAUCUUCAUGAAAUUAAUUUAUGUCUAAUCCUCUUUCUUUCCGGCUUCUUAAUUCUCACUCUGAGUCAUAAAUCCCGGUUAAUCCAUCCUUAUGGAUAGUGGGCUGUGACAAUUAUAAUUCAUAGUAUUAUAAUAAAUUUUAUUUUUAUAAAAAAUAUUCUUAAAAUAAUAUAUAUAAGCAUGAGAUACAGUGACACAUUAUUGUAAUUACAUCAUUGUAAUUUUCAUCAUCAAUAUUAAUAUUAUAGUGUUUGUACGUAUACGAAAUAUUUAUAGAAAUUAAUGCAAGAGUUCAACGACAACGAGUACGUACAACACAUUCACAAGUUCUCAAAACAACAAUAUUAAUAUGCAAGCGCAGGCCAGAAAGCUUUUACAUAGUUGGAAACAGAAAGUGCAUUAAUUAAGGAUAAACAGAAACUGGAAAUCAGUGGAGCUAGAGACCAAAAUCCGAGACCGACAUUUGUUGAAGUAGCUUAGCAGAAGAGUUCUGUAAGAACAUUCUCGCUCAGAAGAGAAAUCUUCAAUAACUUUAUAGCCUAACCAAAAAAGAAGACCAUCGUCAAAUCAGGUGCUACUAUAAUCCAAAUAAAAGUAUAUAUUAGUACUAAGACAAGAAAGAAAAUAAAUGAGUUAAACAAGAAGAGAUGAUACCUCCUUCAUUCCCAAAUGGACAACUUCUUCCUUCAAAGCACCGAUAUAAUUAACAUUAUUGAGCAGCGCAAUGCCGGAGAUAGUAGACAUGGGUUUGAUCUCCAAAUCAUCCAUCACCAUGUAAGUCACUACACCCUUCACCAAACCGGCGUUUCUCGACACCACUUGCCCAUUUUCCGGUAUUUUUUGAAAGCCUUGCUGAAGUAUGUGAUGGCUAAUGUUUCUAGUGGACACAUCCUUAAGAGCCAGCUGUGGAAGCAAAGAAGCGGAGACCGGUUUGAGAUAGAAGUCCUUUUUCUUGUUGGGUUGUAUGUAGUCGUCGUCGAGAUUUUCUAAGCUUGUGUAGAGGUUGGGCAAGGAGCCCUGCAUCCCUUCCUCUUUGAGCAAGCGAAUGAUGGUGGAAACCGGCAGAGACAGUAUGUUGAAGAGGAAAUCCACGCAGUCUUUGCCGGCCUCCGCGAAUACCACUCGAUUCCUUCUCGUGUCGAUCAGCAGCUUCAUGCUCACCGUCGGUUCCGCCAUGCCUUUUGCUGUCUCAUCUAAUCGAUCAUCACUUGUUGUCUCAUUUAUAUAUUGAUAUUUGGUUGUGGUGUAGCGUGUUUGCACAAACACAAGUUGUGCAGCUGGGAGGCCAACUUGCUGAGAGAUUUCGAGAAUCAUUAAUUGUGAUGGGUUAGGUGGAAUAGGGAGAGCCUUGCCUUGCCUUGCCUAGUCUAAUUCAACAUACUGUAGAGCUCAUUAAUUUCACAGGAAACUAAAAUUAUUUCAAAAUUUUAACUUUAGCAUUGUGCUAAUAGCGGAAAUCAUCACUUGAGAUUCAGAAUAGGAAUGAGAUCUAGAUCUAGAUUCAGAAUAGGAAUAAGCUCAUAAUUAAAGUUUCGAAUAGAAGUUUGUAAACGCAUAUACAACUGCAAUAAAGCCACCUACAUAUUUAGCUUCUAAAUGGACGCAUCACGACAGCCAACAGCCAAACAAAACUUAUCAAAAGGAGAAAUGGAACAUAAGGAAAACAGAUGAGAUAGCAUGCUGUAAUCUGGAUCAACAUUUCUUCAACUCAUCGAUCGCAUCACAGAAGACUCGUGUAAGAACGUUCUUAGUCGUGAGAGAAGUCUUCAACAACUUAAUCGCCUAACGAAAAGGAAGUGAUCACAUUCGAGAUCAUUAAAGUGUUAGAUAUCAAAUACUAUUAACACAAAUACACACGUAUACACUAUGAUAGUUCAUAAACUGUAGAGACAAACUUCAAAAACAUGCUCAUACACUACGGUUUUAUAGGAAUCGUAGUAACAGACUACUAUAAACUACAGUUUUUACUACAUUUAGUUCUCCAGCGUAGUCUAAAAUUAAAAAAUGGCGCUCACGCACUACAGUUCACCAAAAAGACCGUAGUCUAUAUGAAUAAACUACGGUUUUAUAUAAAACCGUAGUUAUAAGGGUGUAGAGAUAGCCUAAAUUUGUAGUAAUGUAUACUAAAUGAAAGAAGCAGAAAAUGAUACCUCAUUCAUUCCUAAAGUGACAACCUUUUCCUCCAAAGCACCAACCUCCUUGACAUUAAACUUAUUGAGCAGAGUAAUGCUGGAGAUAGUAGACAUGGGCUUGAUCACCAAAUCAUCCAUCACCAUGUAUGUCACCACCCCCUUCACCAAACCGCCGCCUUCCGCCGCCUCUACCACCGCGGGAGGAGCCACAUAGGUCAUAGUCGAGCUCAGAACCCCACGGCACGAAGGACAAGUGGCGCGGGGGUCAUCAGAAACAUAAUUGCCACAAUUUCUACUAUUGUAAUUAUAAUUGGUGCACUUGUAAAAUACCCUCUCAAUUUGAGAACCAGUGAGGGCCAGAAGCGGAACUGAGGAACCGGAGACCGGCGCCGCCGGUUUCAGAAACGCCUCCUUGUUCUUGCCCGGGAGUAUGUAGGUGUCGUUGAGAUCUUCUAAGCUUUUGAAGAGGUUGGGGAGAGAGCCCUCCAUUCCUUCCUCUCUGAGAAGGCUGAUGACGGUGGCAAGCGGCGCAGACAGUAUGUGGAAGAGGAAAUCCACGCAGUCUUUGCCGGCCUCCGCGAACAAGACGCGUCUCACUUUGCUAGUGUCGAUCAACAGCUUCAUGCUCACCGUCGGAUUCGCCAUUAAUCUUUUUGUGUAUCUGAUGGCUUGAUCUUCUUCUUGGGUGGGUUACUCUAUUUCAACUCAUCACCAUUCAUUUAUAUAUAGAG
rnacentral:lncRNA from 1 species